AAAUAAAUAUCUAAGUUAAGUUUAUUAUUUACAAUAAUAAGAUGUUUUAAAAAACUUUAUUUA
rnacentral:tRNA from 1 species